UACGUAGGGCGCAAGCGUUGUCCGGAAUUAUUGGGCGUAAAGAGCUCGUAGGCGGCUUGUCACGUCGGGGUGUGAAAGCUCGGGGCUUAACCCCGGGUCUGCAUUCGAUACGGGCUGGCUGGAGUGUGGUAGGGGAGAUCGGAAUUCCUGGUGUAGCGGUGAAAUGCGCAGAUAUCAGGAGGAACACCGGUGGCGAAGGCGGAUCUCUGGGCCAUUACUGACGCUGAGGAGCGAAAGCGUGGGGAGCGAACAGG
rnacentral:rRNA from 1 species